GACGAACGCUGGCGGCGCGCUUAACACAUGCAAGUCGAACGGAAAGGCCUGCUUUCCCUUGUGGAUUGCGGGUACUCGAGUGGCGAACGGGUGAGUAACACGUGAGUGAUCUGCCCCCAACUUGGUUAUAAGCCUGGGAAACUGGGUCUAAUUCCCGAUAGGACUGCAGGGUGGUGCCUUUGGUGGAAAACGAUUUUCUAGUGGUUGGGGAUGAGCUGGCGGCCUAUCAGCUUGUUGGUGGGGUAAUGGCCUACCAAGGCGGCGACUGGUAGCCGGCCUGGGAGGGUGGACGGUCGCAUUGAGACUGAGACCCGACCCAGACUGGAAGGGGAGGCAGGAGUGGGGAAGAUAGCAGCAUAGGCGGAAGCCUGAAGCAGCGAGGGAGCGUGGGGGAUGACGGCCUUCGGGUUGUCAACUCCUAUCGACCACGAGGAAGCCACCUGGUUGGGAGGGUGGUGACGGUAGUGGUAGAAGAAGCACCGGCUAACUACGUG
rnacentral:rRNA from 1 species